AUUAACCAGCCCCCUUCAAGUCCCCUUAAAUCGACUGCUCAGCUGAUGUUAAGUAAAAGUUAAAUGACUUGGUUAAAAAAAAAGAAAGACAGCAAAUUGUCCCAUUGGUGGGUUUUCUACAACCUGCCAUGUUCACGCGUAAUAAGAGCUUCUAACGUUUCAUUGGGUCGUUCUUACUUUGUCAUUCUAGGUACUUAACAUGAACUCGUUUGCCCUUGGAUACUCCAGUAUCUAUCACUCACACACUUUAUCCGGAUAAACUUUACUUCGCUACUUUAAAAGGAUACAGGAACUCUACCUGGCACUGUUGUAAAAAGACCGCGUCUUAAUGAAAAGGUGUAGUAAAAAGUUGGAGGACCAUCUUUAAACGCGCUGAUGAGCACAGCAGAUGGGUUAUCUUUGAAGGAUUAAGCCUCCACCCGCCCAGACAUGAUCAGCCCCGCUCAGAGAGGCGUUCACUGCCCGCUCUGUCACGCAGAAACGUCAUAUGACUGCUGCUGCUGCUGCCUAGUGCUCGCUUUGAGUAGACUUCAGGAAAGGUUUUCCUUGAAGGACAUUCAAAGAUGCCCAGCACCCCUGGCUGAAAUGCAGCCAAAACCAUGAGAGAGCCACCACCGUGUUUCACAGAUGGCCGCAGACGCUCACUGUUGUACUUGUUUCUUGAUCUCCUACAUACAUACCGAAGAUGAUUUAAAUCUGGAUUCAUCACACCAUAAGGCCUGAUUUUAAAUCCAGUUCUGGUGUAAUUUGGCAUGCUGCAGACUUUCCGUCCUUGUUUCCUGCUUUUGAUAGCCACCCUUCCACUGAGACCAUUUCUGGCACGACUUUCAGAUUCUUCUUCACUUGUCCAGUUUCCUCACAUUACUUAAAGACACACAGCACACCAUGCCAAGAUACGCCAGCAAAUAGUUCUUUGGUGCCAAAAGUUUCAUCCCUGUCAAAUUUUGCUUGGUAGUUUUCAUAAAUUCAAGUAAGGAAAUCGAAGAAAAAACUGUGAUUUUUUCACAGUAACAAAGUGACUAAAAUACAGUCGGUUCCUUGCUAAGCCAUGUGUAGACAGAGCACUAGUUUAUCACUUGAAUAAAGGCUU